rnacentral:rRNA from 1 species
CAGUAGCCACGGGAAUACGUAGGUGGCAAGCGUUGUCCGGAAUUAUUGGGCGUAAAGCGCACGUAGGCUGCUUUGUAAGUCAGAGGUGAAAGCCCGGGGCUCAACCCCGGAUGUGCCUUUGAGACUGCAGAGCUAGAAUCGCGGAGAGGUGAGUGGAAUUCCGAGUGUAGAGGUGAAAUUCGUAGAUAUUCGCAAGAACACCAGUGGCGAAGGCGGCUCACUGGCCCGGUACUGACGCUGAGGUGCGAAAGCGUGGGGAGCAGACAGGAUUAGAUACCCCCGUAGUCCCUGUCUCUUAUAC